CCCACGCGCUCUAUCUUUAUUGAUCGGUUGCGAUGUAAACACGGCCUGGAAAAUCGCGAAAAGUGAACGAAAAUGUGCCAAAGUGGCCUACUUUUGCUUUUGUUGCUAAAGGGGAGUUUUGUCGCCACACUGGAAGACAAUUCGUUCGAGGAUGAUGAUGGCAUUUCAGCAACAGAUGAACUACCACCAGAAAUAAUGGAAGAACUAGAAUUUGGCAACUCAGACGACGAAAUUAGUAGGGUAGAUGAUGACGAUGGACACAUAGAAACCAUCCACCAGAAGAUGUACGUGACCAAAGAUACGGUUGAAAUCGCACAGACGGUCAUACACAUAAAAGACGAUAAACUUUGUUGUGAGAGAGACGAAAAAACUAAGCCGGACCCGCAGUGCGACAAGGACAAAUUUCCCGAUAACAUGACCCGAACCGGCCCGGAACCACCACAGGACAAAGCAGGACUUGCGCAGCACGGCGUAACAGAGGCUGAGGUUGUAGUAGCACGCUUUCGGAGACGUUUCUCUCCGGCGAAACCAGGGACCAGUGUAUUCGAUUCGUGGCCUCUGAAUAUCUGGCAGUGUUUGGGGAUACUUCUGUUCGUUUCGUACUGUAUUAACAGUGCGGAGUACGGGGCUUUGAGGUCGCACUAGUACCGAUUUGGUUUGGGUUUUUAAAUGUCUCUCGCAUUGUUCUCAUCGUGGUCUAGAUUAGAUGGAUGUUGUGUUAGUCAUGCUAUGGAGCGUCUGACUGAAGUUGUUGACGAGGUAUAUAACAAAGGAGCAUUUAUUCAAAAGAAAAAGAGGUGUUUUUGAAAUCAUGUUUUACUGUUGGUUUAACUACUGUCUCUGGAUUCUUUGUGUUGUGACUGUGUUGAUGUAUGGUGACAUCUUCGCAGAAUAAAGAGUGUUUUUGAA